ensembl:lncRNA
UAGAGAAUUACCUCAUAAUGGAAGGAAGUGUGUGUAGGGCUCUGUCAGUGACAUAGAGAGUGGAAGUUCAGAGAAAGGAGAGAAUAUUGUGAACUAAGCAGCCAGGAAAGGCAUUGGAGCAGCCAGGAAAGGCUGAGACUUGAAAGAUGCUAGGAUAGCAUGAGUCAAGAGGAGAGAGAAAUGCUCAAUGCCCACUGUGAGAAGAUAGCCUUUCCCAGUUGGCAUUGGAGAGUAGUGGGACAUCAUACCAUGGUGACAAGGGUAAUCUACCCUUCAGAGUCCCAACUAUCGUCAAAGGAUGACACUGCCACCAUAUGGCUCUCUAGGCACUCCCACACAAUGGACUCUGAGACUGACUGCAUUUUCCAAAAAUAGACACAGCAAUAUUUCUGGUCCCACGUGCUGUUCCAGAACGCUGCCUCUGCCUCAACCAAGAAGUGGAUUUUAUUUCCCCUUCCCUUGAAUUUGAGUGGGACUUCCUUUGUGGGGGCCUCAGUGAAGACACUGCAGUGGAAACAAUGCUGGGUGACUUCAGAGGUUAGGUCAUAAAUAUGACAUGGCUUCCGUCCAUCACUCUCUCUCAGAACACUCACCAUUGGAACUCAGCCGCCAUGUUGUAAGGAAGCCUCAUGUAGAGUUCCAGCAGACAAGCCUAGCUCAGGUACCAGCCAACAGCCAGCGUGAAUCACCAGACAGGUGAAUGAAGACUCCUUUCAGAAGAUUCCAUCCCCAGCCUUUGAAGUGCCCCAGCUGACAGUGAGCAGAGCAGAGACAAGCUAUCCCUGUAAGCUUUGCGUGAACUGCAGAUUCAUGAGAAAAAUAGGUCGUCAGGCUGCCCACACUGGAAUAUCCACUAUGGAGCAUCCAUUCCAUAAGAGCUGAGCUCCUGUCCAUCUCGGUCCCGACUGCAUCCCGACUGAUCCUUGGGACAAUGCCUGGAUCCCCUACGUGGCCGGCAGCAGUACAGAAUGAUAAACUCCUAGUGAAGGGAAGCUGAUCUCCCCAAAAUGCAGAUGCGUUUACCCUUUGAUGCAGCGACCCCACUUCUGGGCAUUUCCUUUACAGAUUCAAUUGCACGUAUACGAUAACAUGUGCACAAAAGUAUUUACUGUGACUUUGUUUGUAUUAUAAUAACAAAAGGUUAUAAACAACCCACGCCCAUCAGUAGAAAAUGAGUUGAAUAAACUAUGGUACAUAUGGAAAUGGAAUGCUAUACAGCUGUUAAAAAUAUUGCAGAAGAUAUCUAUGUGCAGACAAGGACAGAUCCGGGGACAAAGAAUAUACAUAGAGUGCUUUCUAACACACAAAGUGAGAUUUAUAUAUUUAUAUUUGCUUAUAAAUAAAAAAUAAGGAACAAUAGCUACCAGUGGGGGAGUCUUCUUAGUUUAUAUCUUUUUAUCUAAUUUUGAACUUUGAGCUGUGUAAACGUAUUAUGUAUUGAAAAAAGAAUGGUGCCUGGCACAUGGCAGAUGCUCAGCUAAUUGUGUUGAAAGAAAGCAGGGAUUAGUGAAUGAACAUAUGACUUUGAUGAGAAAGACAAGUGACUAGACAUGUUGAGGCCGCCAUGGUAGCCCGCUGCGAGAGGAACUAACAGCUCCCUCAGCCUGGGGGGAUGAGAGUCACGCAUUACUCAGUGUGCUGAAGAGUGUCCCUAAGGGAGGACCUUAUGGUUAUAGGAGCAGGUCUGAGUCUACGGCUCUGCGUGCGGGUGGUCCUCAAGGUCAAGGUGAGUCUACUAGGCAGGCAUUCAUUCGUUAUUCGUUCAUCCACUCAAGAAAUCCUUGCUGGGUGUUAC